UACGUAGGGGGCGAGCGUUGUCCGGAAUGACUGGGCGUAAAGGGCGCGUAGACGGCUGUCUAAGUCUGGAGUGAAAGUCCUGCUUUCAAGGUGGGAAUUGCUUUGGAGACUGGAUGGCUUGAGUGCGGAAGAGGUAAGUGGAAUUCCCAGUGUAGCGGUGAAAUGCGUAGAGAUUGGGAGGAACACCAGUGGCGAAGGCGACUUACUGGGCCGUAACUGACGUUGAUGCGCGAAAGCGUGGGGAGCGAACAGG
rnacentral:rRNA from 1 species